rnacentral:lncRNA from 1 species
AAGUGUUACAAUGACUUUCUCUUUAGGAUGGGACUCUAGUGGCUCUGGCUGAACUGAACAGAGAAAUACAGGACUCGUACGACCUGGUCAUCAUCGCCACUGACCAUGGCAAACCCCAGAGACAGACCGUCACCAACAUAAGAGUCACGAUCAUCGAUGUCAAUGACGCCCCAGUGUUUAGUACGGACAAAUACAUCAAGAACAUCCUGUCCACGGAGAGCAAAGGAGGAAACCUGGUGUUGACUGUAAAAGCAACAGAUAAGGAUGAUGGCAACAACUCUGUCAUCACAUACAGUGUUGCAUCUGGUGCCUCAGAAUACCUGAGCCUCAAUAGUGAAACUGGUAACAUUGUGUUGACCUCUGACCUUUCCGAUGUAAAAGAAGACACACUGUUGAACCUUACGACCAAAGCCGAGGACCAUGGGACACCUCCACUGUCCUCUACUGGUAAAAAAACAAGUCUAUACUCACAAAUGGAUGUGUACACACACACACACACACACACACACACACACAAACAAACACACACACAUUGAACAUGUUCAUCUACUAGAAUAUCAUCUGCUCCGUUCUGUUUGUGCCUCCUCAGCCACUGUCCUCAUCUACAUCCUUACCGUGAGCCUGGAGGAGGGCGUGGUCUUUGCGAGCCCCACCUACAACUUCAGCUUGCAGGAGAACAAGCCCAAAGGCAGCGUGGUGGGCACUGUCCUCGCCUCCUCUGCCAGCCCCCUGUUUGAAGUCAGCUAUGCUCUGAAGACACACACGGACCUGUUCUCCAUGGACGCCUCCGGUUCCAUCCUCACUCAGGUGGAACUGGACUUGGAGGCCCAGGAGUACUAUUUCAUCUCCGUGGAGGCCACUGAUACCAGGACUCCCCCCAGCACCGCCCUGACAGUUGUAAUGGUUCAGGUGGAGAAUGUGAAUGAAAUGCCCGCGUUUGACAGUAACAACUACACAGCGGAGAUCUUCAGCAUUGCCCCGUUCAAGUAUCCCAUCGCCAAAGUCAAGGUAUGUGUCAGGGACUUUAGGCUAUGGUAGCAGAGUUUAUUUAGAAGCAGCCAGAGACAG